rnacentral:tRNA from 2 species
ACCUGGCUGGCUCAGUUGGUACAGCUUGAGAUUCGUGAUUUCAGGGUCGUGAGUUCGAGCCCCAUGUUGGGUG